GUGCUCACUGAAGCACGUACUAAAACUGGAACAAUACAGAGAAGAUCAGCAUGGCUCCUGUGCAAGGAUGACAUGCAAAUUCAUGAAGCAUUUGUAUUUUUU